rnacentral:lncRNA from 1 species
GUAAAGCAUAGCGCCACCAGCUAACUUCCGAUUGGUUCCUUGUCACAAGACAGGCAUCUGACCUCUAAGUGACUAAGGUUCCUUGUCACGAGACAGGCAUCUGACCUCUACGUGACCAAGGCAGGUUUAUGGCAAGCACGUGUUCGGCUGUUAUGGCUGCCAAAAGGAAGCUGGUUCCUUCAGUACAGUCCUGGGCUUGUUGCUCUUAAUCUUUGAAACAAUGGGUGGAGAUCAUAAUUACAACCAUGGAUUUUCAAAAGGAUCGGAGAAGGUAAAGCGUGAGAAUUACGUAUGUAUUUCAUUUAAUAAUCCUCUGACCUCUGUCAGAGCAUCCUGAGACUAAUGGAUAAAAACCCAUUGGCGUCUAGUCACUGAGCCACCCACUGGGCUCCAACUAAAAGCACAGGAGCUGGUCGUUCAAAGAAAGACCUGCUACAUCUGGUUCAAGGUUUCCGGUAUCUGAAGCACCAGAAACAGUGUUGCUGAGACUCUUCUAGGAUAUGCUGCUAUUGCCCAGAGCUUCUCAGAGCUGCCAUGCAGUCCCGAGGGUGCUGGCAGCCCCCACCAUCCUGAAGGCUUAUCAAGACUUACAUAGCCUUCAACAGCCUUCCCUGUUCAGGAUCCAUUCGUACUGAUGUUUGUGACUUAAUGGAAUCCCUUCAUGUCUCAAAAGAAGUGACUCUUCCCUCGGGAUAAAGGGUCCGCCCUAGAAGACUAAUUAGGUUCAAUUGCUGUGAUGAAGACCAUGACCAAAAGCAACUUGGACAGGGAAAAAUGUGUUUGCCUUUCAUAUACUGGGCCAUUGAGAGAAACCAAGACAAAAGCCUAGAGACAGGAACUGAAGGAGAAGCUGCUUAAUGGCUAACUCCCCAUGGCUUGUUCAGACUGUUUUCUUGGAUCACCCAGGGCAACCUGCUCAAGGAUGGUGUCAUCUACAGUAAGCUGGACCUUCCCACAUCAGUCAUCAGUCAAGAAAAUGCCUCCAUAGACAUACACCGGGCCUGUGCAUAUUGUCAUAACCAUGACAGCUGUCCUGUUGUGUCAGGAGAACAUAGUUCCUUUGUAUUUACUUAUUGACUACCUCUUACUCUCCCAGACUUCCCUCCCCCUCUUCAGCAAUGAUCCAUGCACCUUGGGAAGAGAGGGUACAGCAUGGAUGUUUCAUUUAGGGGUGAACAUUCCACAGGCCCUAGUUCUCUGCACUUUGGCCAGUAUGUUGGUCUCUGACUGCUGUAAAUUUUUCUGAAGAGGGUUGAGAGAUACAUUAAUCUGUGUCUCCUGUCAUGUGGGCAGUAGAGCUGUUUGUUUCUGAGACAAGGUUAGAGAGGUGAAAUGGUACCAAAUAGAUGACAUUUGAACAAUAAUCAAAAAGAAGGAAGGGAAUGAACUAUUCUCAGCCUGCUCUGUAUGAUUCCAGUUAGUGGGUUAUGUUAGUAAGAAGAGUCAUGGGCUCGUGACAAUUGUGAAACUAUCCUAGUGUUACACUGAGUGAGGUUCUAGGUUCUGUAAAAUAUGAAUAUCUUGACUAAUACUGUCUAUGCAGGGCCAGGGAUGUAGAUGUAUGUAAUAGAACAAGUUUGUAAAACAAGUCAUUUCAUUUAUUUUCCUUUAUGAAUUUUAUUUUAUGUGAUGGGACAGAACAAAUUCCAGCCUGGAAAGGGAGGUGAGCUUUAAGGCCCAUCUGCAGCCCAGGAGCUCAGGGCAACUGAUAGCCACAGGAAGGAGGGAAGUCACCCUUCUUUCAGAGUGUUACCACUGGUAUGUCACCUGCACUCCAGUGGAAGGCCACAUAUCCAAGAAUAUAUGGAUGAUGCAAAUUGGACUCUGUGUGUUCUUUUUGUUUUGUUUUUAAGAGGACACAAAGUUGGGUAGGUAGGGAAGAGGAGUUGGUUCUGGG